UACGAAGGGGGCUAGCGUUGCUCGGAAUUACUGGGCGUAAAGCGCACGUAGGCGGCUUGUUAAGUCAGGGGUGAAAUCCUGGAGCUCAACUCCAGAACUGCCUUUGAUACUGGCGAGCUUGAGUUCGGGAGAGGUGAGUGGAACUGCGAGUGUAGAGGUGAAAUUCGUAGAUAUUGGGAAGAACACCAGUGGCGAAGGCGGCUACCUGGUCCGGUACUGACGCUGAGGUGCGAAAGCGUGGGAGC
rnacentral:rRNA from 1 species